UGACUUAGAUUAGACCGUGCCUUUUUGUAGUCUUGUCUUCAGCAGGUGGAUGUGGGGAGAAGGCAAAGGGUGUUGUAAUUCAAGGUAAGACCAUACUAUGCAGUUACACUUUCAAGCAAGUUUAGGCCAGGUGCAUUCAUUAAUGAGAAUCUAUAACUUCAGGCAGAUUUAAGGAUCUAAGUAAAGCUGUCACUUCAAAACAAACAAAAACCAACCAAACAAAACCCCCCCCCAAACAAAAUCCAAACCCUGUUCAAUAGCCAGCUUACUGAAAGCACCAGCAUCCCAUGGGUGCAUCCCUGUAGUUCCAAAGGGAGAGUGCUUAAAACCCUGGGCAGUGCAGUGAGCUGCUCCAAUAAAAAGAAACAUAACAGAAUUCAAGUCAAACAGGCAUGUCCUCAGCAAGACUCUGAAAUGUCCAGCAAAAUUAGGCCAGUCAUAAAAAUAGCUGGAACUGACUUAUUUUUUAAUGUAUUUUGAAGCAUAGCUCAAGGCAGAAAAGAAGGUGUCUGUAGCAUUUCCCCAAGAAGACUUUGGAUCAGUGCCUCUUCUGAGGCUGAUAAGAUUCUUGCAAGACAAUUUGCUACAUGCUUGAUUGGGGGAUAUGCUGUAUUUUAAUGUUGAAACCAACAGAAAAAUAGCUCAGGGUCUUCCUCUAAAGGAAAAGCCGCGUGGCAGACCAGCAUCAGCCUUAAUCCAAAGGGGAAAGUAAGAUGAAAUUACCUUUCGUGCUGAAGGGUUGGAAGGUGACUCAAUGCACUGACAGGACAAACAGAGAAAGCAAGAGAAGCAAAUAGAAGAGGACUUCAUGGUGACUACCAAAAUGGAAAAAAAGUAAUAAGUAAAUGGGAAUUCUGGAGAGUGGCUAAAAGCUAAGGAUGUUCCUGACAACUGCAGUAAGCUUUUGAUAAGGAGUACAAGAACCCCACAAAACAUCAAAAUGUGUAAGUUCUCCUAGAAUUACCUGAGAAGUUUUAAAAUUCCUAUUUAAAAACAACAAAAAAAACCAAAGCCAAACACAAGACACAAUUUUCAAUUUAUUAAUAGAUGUUAACAGAUUAUUAUUAUUUUCCAUAAAAUGCCAAAUGGGUACAAGUACUUUUGUGAACAAAAUACUGAAUAUUACAGAGUUACAAGGAAAACUUAGAUCAGAAAUGAACACCAAAUCCUUCACUGUGUGUGUGGGCUUACACAAGUCAUGGUCCUUUCUGUUGUGUAAGGUUUUAUCCAAAAGACACUUUACAGUAACACAUAUUAGUUGAUAGAAUGAUGUCAGCGAAGUGUCCAGAGGUACCCAGGUUAUUCCAACUCUCCAUAGCUCAGGACCACAGAAAGAUGGCCCAGAGAGACAUAAAUAACAUAUAUAAAGUGUUGGAAUUCAAACAAAAUGAGCGAUUCCAUAAUCAGCAAAGCCUGCUAUGCUAAACACUGUUAAUAAUUAUGUUUUCCUCCAGCUAUAUGUACACAUCUAUUCACAGUGCCUAAUGCUGAGAAGCCUACUGAGAUUUAGAGGCAUUAAGAGGUAGUAGAGACAUCUCCUCACUCAGCCAAUGCUGAAUUUUGAACAUAAUUAACUAAUAUUUCAAAGAAAUAGUUUUAUUUCUUCUUCUCAUCAUCUGUACACCUCUGUUUAUGUUUGAAACGGAUCAGAGAUGAGAACCAUGUAUCAAAAAGAAACAUACUAAGAACAAAAAACUUCAUGUGUAACAAAAAACUUUCAAAAUCCACUGGAAUCCCAUGACCCUAGACACUAAUUAAGCCUUAUGCUUUGAUAUUAGAUCAGCUCCAACUAUUUUAGAAAAAUCCUGUCCUGCAUGCCCUUUUACUUCUCAAUUAUCCAUCACAGGAUAUUCCACACCUUUGUUGGAAGCUGCUCUCAGAAGAUUUAAGGGACCGUUGAUUUGAUCCAGAGCAGGAAUUCUCAUCUUUCCAUCCUGCAGUGGUGACCAAGACCCUCUGCAACCUGAAUAUAAAUGUAUAACUGGACUAAUGGCAGAGAGGACUGCUGGCAAAGUGUGGAGCUGCUUAACCACGAUAGUAAAAAUAAAAUAGUAUACUUUGAAUUAAGAGAGGGCUUCCCAGUGAAAUGGGAAGGUAUUAGAGCAUUCUGCUGGGACAGCUUAUUGCAUUAAUUUGUCCUCUAUUUAAAGAGGUCUCCACAGAUGCCCAACGUACUCUGGACAACCUUCCCACAAUUAACAGUCUUACUGUUUUGUCUUUGCUGAGCUUUAGGAAGACAAUACCAUUUAUUUAAUGCAGAUUAAAAUACACAUUGAUAAUGAAGAACAGAUUAGUGAAGUCUUAGUUAAUUACUAUUUUCAGUACAGUUCACUAUCAAUUAAUUAUAUUAUCAUGUAAUAGCUAGCAUACAUCUGUUCCCAAUUGGUUAAAUACUUCUGCAGCUAUACUCUUACUGAAACCCACAGCAAAAUUCC